GACGAACGCUGGCGGCGUGCCUAACACAUGCAAGUCGAGCGGGGUGGAGGCGAGGAGGUAACUCAAGCUUCUACCUAGCGGCGGACGGGUGAGUAACGCGUGGGCAACCUGCCUCAAGGAUCGGGAUAACAGCUCGAAAGGGCUGCUAAUACCGGAUAUGCCUAUGGCCUCGCAUGGGGCUGUGGGCAAAGGGGAAACCCGCCUUGAGAUGGGCCCGCAUCCCAUCAGCUAGUUGGUGAGGUGAAGGCUCACCAAGGCGACGACGGGUAGCCGGCCUGAGAGGGUGACCGGCCACACUGGGACUGAGACACGGCCCAGACUCCUACGGGGGGCAGCAGUGGGGGAUCUUGCACAAUGGGCGAAAGCCUGAUGCAGCGACGCCGCGUGAGCGAAGAAGGCCUCGGUUGUAAAGCUCUGUCUGGAGGGACGAAGAAAGUGACGGUACCUCCGGAGGAAGCCACGGCUAACUAACGUGCCAGCAGCCGCGGUAAAAUCAA
rnacentral:rRNA from 1 species